CCUGCUUCCAAUGAGCUUUCUUCGACUGAACGCUCCAUCGCACCUGCUCCUCGUCAUCGCCGGGGACGUGGGCCGCGCGCCGGACGCUCGGGACCUCCUCCAGGCGAUCUUUGUUACUUUUUAUCUCGUGGCCCGCCUUGACGGGUUUCUUUAAUGUGUGUUUUUUGGGAGGCUUUGUGUCCUCCUUCCUAUUAUGUAUUUGAAUGUUUCUUUUGUUCCCUGC
rnacentral:lncRNA from 1 species